UGGUGGAGUGAUUUGUCUACUUAAUUGUGAUAACGAACGAGACCUUAUUCUGUUAAAUAGGGGUAGGAAUUUGACUCGCAAGGGUCUGUAUUUAUAUACACUUCUUAAAGGGACUUCUUGGGAUUGCAACCAAGAGGAAGAAAGAGGCAAAAUCA
rnacentral:rRNA from 1 species